AGAGCGGAGUAAACUCAGACAGUGAGGACACACAGACCGCAGAAUUACAACCAUGAAUGUUGUGAAUGCAGUGCAACUGUUCUCUCUGUUCUGGACCUUUACUGCUCUCUGUCAAGCUGAUGAAGAUAUCAGUGUAAGCUGUGAGAAAGUGACUGGAUCUGUGGGGAAGGAAGGAAAUCUCCACUGCAGUGUCUCAGUGAAUUGCUCUAAUUGUUCCAUUAUAAUGUAUAAGUUUAAAUACCCCAAUGAAUCAACCAUUUGUACAGAGCCUCCUAAAGACUACUGUAAACAGAGUAACAUCUUAACAUGCCGCUACACUCCAACAACAGCAAUUAACAAUACAGAAGAAUUCAGCUUCUUUGUGCAAACAACAUGUGGAAUGAAAACAACAAAAUUCACUGUGGACAUAACAGGGUCAUCAUCAAACACAGCAGAUGAAUCUAAGAAUGAUGUCAUCACUGCAGUUGUGGUCUUAUCUGUCAUCCUCAUCAUCAUCUUAAUGGCAAUAAUUAGCAAAAAACAAUAUUUUGGGUUCCUGAAGAGGAUGUUUCUGUGCAUCAAACAUAAUGAUGGCAACGGUAAUUGUCUUGAACAAUUGAAAUACUCCUCACCGGGGCCUGACCAGUGUUCGAUAAAUAUUAUUGAUUCAGCAAAACCAAACUAAUGAGUUUUAUUUGACUUUUCAUGUAGUGCUCAUGAAACACACAAGCUUUAUUUGAACUCCACUAAACUACAUACUCCACUAUCUCUUGUAUCUCAAACUACUGAAUAUAUAACUCUGGUGGUUGAUUUAAAACCCAGUUUCUGUUUUAUACAAGUUUCUGUGAAAUAACAGUAUAUUAUUGAUCUGUGUGAUCAGUGUGUAUAUUUGUACAUGUGACUGUAAAGAGGAAACACAGCGAAACUCAGACUGUGUUUGGGUUUUGCUCUUUUUUUUCUGACUUUAAAGGAAUGUCUGAAAUGAAUGCCAGUUUGGUACAGUGAGUGUUAAUAUAACUUCAGUUUGGAAAUAUUUUUUUGUUUAAUAUUCUACACUUGAAGUGUGGCUUUGUACAGUGGUUCAUUUAUAUAAAAAUAAAAAAUGUAUUACACUUUG